rnacentral:rRNA from 1 species
ACGGGAGGCGACAGUAGGGAAUCUUGCGCAAUGGGCGAAAGCCUGACGCAGCGACGCCGCGUGAGGGAUGAAGGCCUUUGGGUCGUAAACCUCUGUCGGAGGGGAAGAAAUUUUGACGGUACCCUCCAAGGAAGCCCCGGCUAACUACGUGCCAGCAGCCGCG